rnacentral:tRNA from 1 species
ACUAAGAUAGUUAAAUUAUAACUAGACUCUGAAGAGGUUUAAUUGGAGUGUUAAAUUCCUCCUCUUAGUA